rnacentral:rRNA from 1 species
CUAAAAACCUAGCUUACCUUUAUUCUUAUGAAUACACCACCUUAACAAAACUAAAUAAAACAUUUUGUACAUUAAGUAAAGGCGAUUAAAAAAUGUCUCAAAGCUAUAGAAACUAGUACCGCAAGGGAAAAAUGAAAUAUUAAUGAAAAACCUCAAGCACAAAAAAGUAGAGCUAUAACCUCGUACCUUUUGCAUCAUGGUCUAACUAGUUCAACCAAGCAAAAUGAAUUUUAAGUCUGACUUCCCGAAACUAGGUGAGCUACUUAAAAACAGCCUUCCGGGCCAACCCGUCUCUGUUGCAAAAGAGUGGGAAGAUUUUUAAGUAGAGGUGACAGACCUACCGAACCUAGAGAUAGCUGGUUAUUCAGGAAAAGGAUCUAAGUCCUACCUUAAGUUUAUUGUACAAGAACAAUACACUAUUAAC